rnacentral:rRNA from 1 species
GACGAACGCUGGCGGCGUGCUUAACACAUGCAAGUCGAACGGAAAGGCCCUGCUUUUGUGGGGUGCUCGAGUGGCGAACGGGUGAGUAACACGUGAGUAACCUGACCUUGACUUUGGGAUAACUUCAGGAAACUGGGGCUAAUACCGGAUAGGAGCUCCUGCUGCAUGGUGGGGGUUGGAAAGUUUCGGCGGUUGGGGAUGGACUCGCGGCUUAUCAGCUUGUUGGUGGGGUAGGGGCUUACCAAGGCUUUGACGGGUAGCCGGCCUGAGAGGGUGACCGGCCACAAUGGGACUGAGAUACGGCCCAGACUCCUACGGGAGGCAGCAGUGGGGAAUAUUGCACAAUGGGCGGAAGCCUGAUGCAGCAACGCCACGUGCGGGAUGACGGCCUUCGGGUUGUAAACCGCUUUCGCCUGUGACGAAGCGUGAGUGACGGUAAUGGGUAAAGAAGCACCGGCUAACUACGUG